AGUGAACGCUGGCGGUAGGCCUAACACAUGCAAGUCGAACGGCAGCACAGUAAGAGCUUGCUCUUACGGGUGGCGAGUGGCGGACGGGUGAGGAAUACAUCGGAAUCUACUUUUUCGUGGGGGAUAACGUAGGGAAACUUACGCUAAUACCGCAUACGACCUACGGGUGAAAGCAGGGGAUCUUCGGACCUUGCGCGAUUGAAUGAGCCGAUGUCGGAUUAGCUAGUUGGCGGGGUAAAGGCCCACCAAGGCGACGAUCCGUAGCUGGUCUGAGAGGAUGAUCAGCCACACUGGAACUGAGACACGGUCCAGACUCCUACGGGAGGCAGCAGUGGGGAAUAUUGGACAAUGGGCGCGAGCCUGAUCCAGCCAUACCGCGUGGGUGAAGAAGGCCUUCGGGUUGUAAAGCCCUUUUGUUGGGAAAGAAAAGCAGCAGGUUAAUACCCCGCUGUUCUGACGGUACCCAAAGAAUAAGCACCGGCUAACUUCGUA
rnacentral:rRNA from 1 species